GCCUGGGUGGCGGAAUUGGUAGACGCAAGGGACUUAAAAUCCCUCGGUCUUAAAUGGCUGUGUGAGUUCGAUUCUCACCCCAGGCACCA
rnacentral:tRNA from 1 species